AUUGAACGCUGGCGGCAGGCCUAACACAUGCAAGUCGAACGAGUGGCGGACGGGUGAGUACUGUCUGGGAAACUGCCCGAUGGAGGUGGAUAACUACUGGAAACGGUAGCUAAUACCGCAUACCAUCGGAUGUGCCCAGAUGGGAUUAGCGAUUGGGUGGGGUAACGGCUCCCCUAGGCGACGAUCCCGAGCUGGUCUGCGAGGAUGACGAGACAUCCUGGAACUGAUACACGGUCCAGACUCUGACGGGGGUCAGAAGUGGGGAAGAUUGGACAAUGGGCGCAAGCCUGAUGCAUCCAUGCCGGGUGUAGGAAGAGGGCCUUCGGGUUGUAAAGUACGUUCAGCGAGGAGGCGUUUCUCGCAGAAGAAGCACCGGCUAACUCCGUGCCAGCCGCCGCGGUAAUUC
rnacentral:rRNA from 1 species